rnacentral:rRNA from 1 species
CUGCUGCCUUCCGUAGGAGUUUGGUCCGUGUCUCAGUACCAAUGUGGGGGGUUGACCUCUCAGUCCCCCUAUGUAUCGUCGCCUUGGUGAGCCGUUACCUCACCAACUAGCUAAUACAACGCAUGUCCAUCUCUGACCACCUGAGUUUUCAACCACCGAAGAUGCCUCCGGUGAUGUUAUGGGGUAUUAGUACCAAUUUCUCGAUGUUAUCCCCCUGUCAAAGGUAGGUUACGUACGCGUUACGCACCCGUCGCCGGUCGCCGGCAAG